rnacentral:lncRNA from 1 species
CCAGAUGUUCUUUGUUCCCAGAAAUAUUCCUCCCCACCAGCCAGUAGAAGGGAGCUGGUGCUGGUAUACGGUCUGCUCCUCCUGUUUGCAGCGCUCACCAUGGGCUGCACGCCCCAGCGCCAGGAGCGCGUCGCCUCCCCUGGGCAGGCUGGGAGGUAGGCAACCAGGACAGGGCCCACACUGCUCAGCUGCCCAGCACAAAGAGGGUCUUUGCUUCCAGUGAGGAAACUGUGGGUUUCUCCUGACCCAAGAUGUGUAAAACGAAGCUCGCUUUGGGCACGGCCUUGCAGCUGCCCCCAUCAGGGCAGUGCUGGCAUCCCUGGGGAGCUCUCCUCACCACGCCAUACUCUGCAUCCUGCAGCAGUGGGACCAGUCCCCAGUGCGGGCUUCAUAUUUACGCAGCUUUCCCUGUGCCCUGAACUCUGCCUGUGUCUCCGGCAGAAGGGCAGCUACCCCAGGUCAGAGCACCGCCUCGAGCCGCCGGGGAAUCGGCUUUCAAUUUCUGCCGUGGCUUUCCUUCCCUUUUUUCUCUUAUCCCUCCAGCCAUCGCAGAAUAAUUCCCAUCCCUAUUAGCUUACCCCCCUCCCCCUUCCUCCUCUGCCCCUUUGAAAUCCUCCCUCCUGUCCCCGGGAGGGGCGGGGGGCGGCGGGAGAAUUCCUCCAGAUAUUACACAAAAGCCUCAUGCAUCCCCAGUGUCAACCCCAGAGGGCGGCCGGAUCUGCCAAGGCUGACAGCUUCCAUUUCUUCUGCAACAACCUUGCAUAAGGAUGGCAUUAGAAGGCAGCGUUUGAGUCUACUUGAGCAGCUUAUGAUUCCACCAGUGGAUCCAGGGGAAAAUUUUAAAACUCGAAAGCUUGAGUUAGAGCUUGACAGUUCCUCUUGUUCUCACGCCAGGGGUGUCACUCAUGCAUCCAAACAGUUUCUUCGUUACCUGAGAAGAGUGUUCCUAACUUCACCAUCAUUCCUCGGCCUUCCCUGA